CACGUAGUUAGCCGGUGCUUCUUCUCCAGGUACCGUCAAUUGCUCUUCGUCCCUAGCGAAAGGAGUUUACAACCCGAAGGCCGUCAUCCCCCACGCGGCGUCGCUGCAUCAGGCUUGCGCCCAUUGUGCAAUAUUCCCCACUGCUGCCUCCCGUAGGAGUCUGGGCCGUAUCUCAGUCCCAAUGUGGCCGUACACCCUCUCAGGCCGGCUACCCGUCGACGCCUUGGUAGGCCAUUACCCCACCAACAAGCUGAUAGGCCGCGAGCUCAUCCCACACCGAAAAACUUUCCACAAUGGCAUCCAAACCAUCGUCCUAUCCGGUAUUAGACCCAGUUUCCCAGGCUUAUCCCGAAGUGCAGGGCAGAUCACCCACGUGUUACUCACCCGUUCGCCACUCGAGUACCCCUGCAAGCAGGAGCCUUUCCGUUCGACUUGCAUGUGUUAAGCACGCCGCCAGCGUUCAUCCUGAGCCAGGAUCAAACUCU
rnacentral:rRNA from 1 species